CUCAUUUAUCAGCAUCUGUUGACAAUCCAUUGAGUGCCACUCCAGAUUUCAACACUGUGUUUGGUUUUACUCGAGACAGGUUGGCUGUGCCCUCCACUGGUUGAGCUGCCUUAUUGAUUCCACCGCCGCCUGCUGGGCCAAAGGGAUGAUGGGGCAUACCAUGAAUAAAGACACUUUUCAUCCCAAUUUUAGGUAUAACAGCUAAUAUGCAAUAGAUAUUCAUCAUUACUUGUGCAUUUUGAUGCUUGAAGACACUGCAGAUCCGAUCUGAAUAUAAAUUAUGAAUCACAAAUGUUUCAGUUCUCACCUGUGGUUUGAUUGGUGGGAGUAGUUUGAAUGGCAGGGGCUGGGGUUAGAAGUCCUGCCCCUUACCAAUAU
rnacentral:lncRNA from 1 species